rnacentral:rRNA from 1 species
GUCUGGGGUAGUCGCAACGAGCGCAACCCUUGUCCUAUGUUGCCAGCGGAUAAUGCCGGGGACUCGUAGGAGACUGCCGGGGUCAACUCGGAGGAAGGUGGGGAUGACGUCAAAUCAUCAUGCCCCUUACGUCUAGGGCUGCAAACAUGCUACAAUGGCCGGUACAGAGGGCUGCUAUUCCGCGAGGAUGAGCGAAUCCCAAAAAGCCGGUCUCAGUUCGGAUCGAAGUCUGCAACUCGACUUCGUGAAGUCGGAGUCGCUAGUAAUCCCGGAUCAGCAACGCCGGGGUGAAUACGUUCCCGGGCCUUGUACACACCGCCCGUCACACCACGAAAGUCGGCAACACCCGAAGCCAGUGGCCCAACCCGCAAGGGGGGGAGCUGUCGAAGGUGGGGUCGGCGAUUGGGGUGAAGUCGUAACAAGGUAGCCGUACCGGAAGGUGCGGCUGGAUCACC